rnacentral:lncRNA from 1 species
AACAUAACGCUAAGGUGUUCUACAAACCGGGUAAGGAAAACUUCGUGGCCGACGCCCUGUCCAGACAAAACAUUAAUAACCUACACGAAGAGCCUCAGUCCGAUGCUGCCACGGUGCACAGCGAGCUCUCUCUGUCUUACACAGUGGAAACCACGGAUAAGCCCCUCAACUGUUUCAGAAACCAAAUAAUUCUAGAAGAGACUAGCCAGCCUCUACGGCGAAACUUCAUAAUUUUCGGCGGAAAACCCCGCCACAUUAUUCACUUCAACGAUAAGGACUCACUAAUUAAGUCAGUAAAGGAGGUGGUCAAUUCCAAGGUCGUGAAUGCAAUCCACUGUGAUCUUCCGACUUUAGCUACCCUCCAACAUGCUCUGGUGCUGGAGUUUCCCGCAACCAAGUUCUGGCAUUGCAAAAACUUCGUGAACGAUAUCACAGAUGCAAGCGAGCAUGCUGAAAUAAUUACAGCCGAACACAAUCGCGCCCAUAGGGCAGCCCAAGAAAAUGUUAAGCAGGUCCUUCGUGACUACUAUUUCCCGAAAAUGACCAAACUUGCUAACGAGGUGGUUAUGAACUGCAGAGUCUGCACCAAGGCAAAGUAUAACAGACACCCAAAAAAACAAGAGCUGGGGGUCACCCCUGUUCCGUC